AUCAUCAGUAGUGGUUAUACUAUACUUAUUAUAAUAUAACUUACUUUACUAUAAAGACUAUGGCGAGUCUUACUGGUAGUAUAUCAUAGAUGUAUACUAUUUAAGACUUGUCUUAUUUAUUAACCCAAUAGCUAAGUAUUUUGAUUGACCUUGCUAACAACUCGGCCACAGUCAAUACUUCGUUUCGGUCUUUUAGAUUAAUAACGGCAUUU
rnacentral:ncRNA from 1 species